rnacentral:lncRNA from 1 species
GUCUUCAUCAGCAUCGACUUGCACUAGCGUAUUAUGCACCGAAACAUUGGGUUGAUCGUAUUCUGUAAACAAUUCAUCGCUCAAACCCUCUAUCCUUAUAAAAUUAUGUAGCGCGAAACAUGCAACGGUAAUGUUCCUUUGUGUAACCAAUGGAAAUGGUGCCAUCCUUUUCAAAAUAGGGAAUCUUGCUUUCAAGACACCAAAAGCACGCUCAAUUACGUUCCGAAGUCUUGCAUGAGCAUGGUUAAAUUUCUCUUUAUUAGUCAACGCACGUCUUCGGCGAAAAUCUCCUAGCCAAUACCUCACAUUACGAUAUGGAGCCAUAAAUCCCCGUAUGUGUGCAUACGCGGCAUCACAAAGAUAAUACUUGUCUGCUCAGAAGUGGGCUCGGAAGUAGGCUCAGAAGUGGGCUCAGGAUUAGGCUCAGAAGUAGGCUCAGAGGUGCCGGCAUCAUCUUGUGUGUCAUGAUAAUGGGUCAUUUUAGAUGGUCGUUUGACCAUUGUUGUUUCUCUCCCAUUUCUACUAAUCAACAAACAACCAAGGGAACAAUUUACAAUUUUAAACUAUGA